GAGAACAGGUUGAACACGAAGCCGUCCAAACGAACGGCGUGAAACGAAAGAAAGAGAAGAAAAGAAAGAAGGAAAAGAGGAAGAAGACUAAAGUCGAUGAGGAGAAAAAGGAAAAGAAGCACAAGAAACAUAAGAAAGAAAAAUUUAAAGAGAAAACGUGAGGUUCAGAACCUCCAUAAUGGGGCUCAAUGGAAAAAAACCGACGAAUAGUAGUUCGUUUAUGCUCAACUCCGAAAGCAUCCGACCACGACGUGUGAUGCUAACCGACUUAGCCGAAGGUUAUCCGACGCUUCUUAAGUAAAUCCGACAGCUCCCGACUAAAAGCUGGCCGGUUGGACUUUCUCAGAGUCCGUUUCCGCUGUUUUGAUAGUCGGGCGGAAACCGUCGCUCACCUAUCGCGACUUCGUCGCUCAUUUUAUAGAAGUAGAAGUCGAGUUGUGGCAAGUCGAGGCUACAGUCGGAGAUUGCUGAGAAGAAAACGCAAAAUUGUCAAUUAAUUCCGAGAGUGCCCGAUCAAACCAUAAGCAACUAUCGAACCUUUGUGUACAGCUGAGGGCGGUGUACACAGGCUCAUCCGACCAGGGGAAGGUUUGUCAAGUUAUCCUUAAUCAGUGCUAUCAACUCCGAUAGUAACCGACUAAACUGCUCUACGAUAAUUAAGAUUGUCAAAGAGUGACAGUGCAUUGUUCUGCUUCCUUCAGGAUAAUUUAACAUAGUUAGAAAGCAUUGAUUGCGUCCUGAAAGUACCCCGGCUGAAAAUGAUCAUUUCAGAGCGCUCUGUCAAGUCCGAAAAUCAUGCCAUGGUGCUUCGACCUGUGCGUCGUUGGAGCAUAACCGACGAUUAACCGAAGAUCACCCGAUUAUAUUCGAUUAACCUCCCCACCCCUCACUCCCC